AUACGUAGGUGGCAAGCGUUGUCCGGAAUUAUUGGGCGUAAAGGGCGUGUAGGUGGAUUCUUAAGUCGUGUGUCUAAGUGCGGGGCUCAACCCCGUAUGGGCGCAGGAAACUGGGGAUCUUGAGUGCAGGAGAGGAAAGUGGAAUUCCCAGUGUAGCGGUGAAAUGCGUAGAUAUUGGGAGGAACACCAGUGGCGAAGGCGACUUUCUGGACUGUGUCUGACACUGAGGCGCGAAAGCUAGGGGAGCGAACGGGAUUAGAUACCCCGGUAGUCCUAGCCGUAAACGAUGGGUACUAGGUGUAGGAGGUAUCGACCCCUCCUGUGCCGGAGUUAACGCAAUAAGUACCCCGCCUGGGGAGUACGGCCGCAAGGUUGA
rnacentral:rRNA from 1 species